GAGGAAAUCAAAAAGGAUGAGGAGGUGGCCGUGUUCCCGGUGAGCUGCGUGCGCGGCGCCGGCCUCAACGCGCUGCACGCGUGCCUGCUGGCGCUGGCGCCGCGCCGCGACCUGCAGCGCCCCGAGGACGAGGCGUGCGAGUUUCAAAUAGACGAAAUUUUCCACGUAGGGGACUCGACGGGGCCCGUCGUAGGG